rnacentral:rRNA from 1 species
UACGUAGGGUGCGAGCGUUAAUCGGAAUUACUGGGCGUAAAGCGUGCGCAGGCGGUUCGUUAUGUCCGAUGUGAAAGCCCCCGAGCUCAACUUGGGAAUGGCAUUGGAAACUGGCGGCUGGAGUGUGGCAGAGGGGGGUGGAAUUCCACGUGUAGCAGUGAAAUGCGUAGAGAUGUGGAGGAACACCGAUGGCGAAGGCAGCCCCCCUGGGCCAACACUGACGCUCAGGCACGAAAGCGUGGGGAGCGAACAGG